rnacentral:rRNA from 1 species
GACGAACGCUGGCGGCGUGCUUAACACAUGCAAGUCGAACGAGGCCCUACCGGUGGCAACACCGGGAACGGCCUAGUGGCGAACGGGUGAGUAACACGUGAGCAACCUGCCCCGAAGACCGGGAUAACAGCGGGAAACCGCUGCUAAUACCGGAUACCCCCACGCGAUCGCAUGGUCGCAUGAGGAAAUGGACUCCGCUUCGGGAGGGGCUCGCGGUCUAUCAGCUUGUUGGUGGGGUCACGGCCUACCAAGGCGACGACGGAUAGCUGGUCUGAGA